rnacentral:rRNA from 1 species
AAACCAACAGGGAUUGCCUUAGUAGCGGCGAGUGAAGCGGCAAAAGCUCAAAUUUGAAAUCUGGCACCUUCGGUGUCCGAGUUGUAAUUUGAAGAUUGUAACCUUGGGGUUGGCUCUUGUCUAUGUUUCUUGGAACAGGACGUCACAGAGGGUGAGAAUCCCGUGCGAUGAGAUGCCCAAUCCUAUGUAAGGUGCUUUCGAAGAGUCGAGUUGUUUGGGAAUGCAGCUCUAAGUGGGUGGUAAAUUCCAUCUAAAGCUAAAUAUUGGCGAGAGACCGAUAGCGAACAAGUACAGUGAUGGAAAGAUGAAAAGAACUUUGAAAAGAGAGUGAAAAAGUACGUGAAAUUGUUGAAAGGGAAGGGUUUGAGAUCAGACUCGAUAUUUUGUGAGCCUUGCCUUCGUGGCGGGGUGACCCGCAGCUUAUCGGGCCAGCAUCGGUUUGGGCGGUAGGAUAAUGGCGUAGGAAUGUGACUUUGCUUCGGUGAAGUGUUAUAGCCUGCGUUGAUGCUGCCUGCCUAGACCGAGGACUGCGAUUAUCAAGGAUGCUGCAUAAUGAUCCCAAACCGC